rnacentral:rRNA from 2 species
UUGGGCGUAAGCGCGCGCAGGCGGUCCCUUAAGUCUGAUGUGAAAGCCCCCGGCUCAACCGUGGAGGGUCAUUGGAAACUGGGGGACUUGAGUGCAGAAGAGAAGAGUGGAAUUCCACGUGUAGCGGUGAAAUGCGUAGAGAUGUGGAGGAACACCAGUGGCGAAGGCGACUCUUUGGUCUGUAACUGACGCUGAGGCGCGAAAGCGUGGGGAGCAAACAGGAUUAGAUACCCUGGUAGUCCACGCCGUAAACGAUGAGUGCUAAGUGUUAGAGGGUUUCCGCCCUUUAGUGCUGCAGCAAACGCAUUAAGCACUCCGCCUGGGGAGUACGGCCGCAAGGCUGAAACUCAAAGGAAUUGACGGGGGCCCGCACACGCGGUGGAGCAUGUGGUUUAAUUCCAAUUAACGCCAAGAACCUUACC